UCUUCCUUCCGUUGGUUCACCCCCCCAAAUGGCUGCCAUGGCCGCUGCACUGCGCCAAUCUGAAGCCAGGAGCCAGGUGCUUCUCCUGGUCUCCCAUGGGGUGCAGGGCCAAGCACUUGGGCCAUCCUCCACUGCCUUCCCGGGCCACAGCAGAGAGCUGGCCUGGAAGAGGGGCGACCGGGACAGAAUCCAGCGCCCCGACUGGGACUAGAACCCGGUGUGCCGGCGCCGCAGGUGGAGGAUUAGCCUAGUGAGCCGCAGCGCUGGCCUGUACAGUUUCUGACCCCGUUACUGUGGUCUGCAAGUCCGUGCUCCCCCAGCUUCAUGUGCUGGAAUCAAGUCGCCAAGGUGAGGAAGGCAGUGUAUGCUGGGGCUGUUGGGCGGUCACUAGGUCAUGGACGUGGGGGCCCGAGGAGGGACAAGAGCUGGCCUGUCCCUUUCUCUGCCCGAGGACACGGCAAAGAGGCUUCAAACACCCAAUCUGCAGUGCCUUGGUGCAGAACUCCCAGCCUGCAGCACUGCGGGAAAUAAAUUUCUGGUGUUCCCGAGCCAGCAAGUCAAUGGCAUUUUGUUGAAGCAGCCCAAAUAGACGAAGAUGCCCGUAUACCCCGAAUGUUAUCUCAGCAGGCAAUCAAUAUAAAAAAUGUUAACAUUCCCCCUUCUUUUCUUUUACGAAGUCUUCAGAGUCCAGUGUGUAUUGGAUACUCACAGGUCAAGCCACAUGCCACAUUUCCAACAGAAGUGGCUCCUGCAUGUGUAGUUCUGGUAAAAUCUAUGACCAAAGUGGGCUCACGUAGUUCCCACCAGACCUCGGUGUUUGUGGUGGGUUUUUAAUUGAGUUUCUAGAUUGAGGACCUGGACUUGGUGUUCUCGUUGUAGCCUAGGAGUCAGUGGCUCCUGUGGAAUCGUGGUUGACCAGGCUUAGGUGUGGCCUUCACACAGAUAAGACGGGGUGGACAUAAGGUGGACAUAAGGUGGUCUGUGUGUCUAGAAAUGUGAGAGAAAGAACAGGAAACAGAAAUGUGAGAGCAAGAACAGGAAACAUGCAAGGGCUGGGGAAAAAUGAGAAGAGGGUGCUAGGGGUACAAAGACAGGCAGGAGACACAGUGCGGCUACCGAUCUUCGCCCAUUGUAUCCCAUGGUCCUGUCUACAGGGCGUCUGGGACAACUCACCCUGAGCAAGAAAUACCACUGCUAGACUGCGACAUAAGUUCUCUGUCACUGAAAUGGUCACAGGGUUGAAAAUUGGGCACUUAAUGGUCCCGAUGCCAUGGAGGAUUUGGAGCAGGUAAACAGAGCUGACCUUGGUGUCACCUGACCAAGGACCAUCCCAGAGAAGCGUUCCUGUGGUCCCUGUGGGUUUAACAUCAAAAGUGACUGAGAAAAAUGAAAUCUAUGUACUGUCCCUGAUUAGGAAAAAAGAUGAUAUGGGAUGAUACUUCCAACAGUUCAUGGGAAGUAGAAUUUUUAAAAGUUAUAUUGAUGCAAAAACAAAUUUCUUACUCUUGCAUUCAAGGACUCUCCAAAAAGUUCAUGGCCAAUACAUGUAAUGAAAAAAAAAAAACUAUGCAUGAUUUCAUAAAUUUCUGCACCAAAAUAUACUUUUAAUUCCAUUUCCCAUGAUCCCUGAGAAGCACCCUCGUUUUGCAGGAAGAGAAGAGGAGUUUCAGAGACGAAAACCACAAUAGCAUGCAGCAGGGAGAGCCCAUCACUCCACACCCUACCGAGGUUGUUUUACACCCUUGGAAGCAGGAGGACGGAGGGGGACCGCUCAGGAGGAUGGGUGUCCUCCUGGGUUCAGGGCAGCUCUGGGUGGUCAGUGGGAGUGGGAGCUGUGAACUUGACCUUGGAUGAGGCAAGUUCCGCAGAGAACCAAGGAAGGAAGCGUGUCCAGGCUGCAGAGAAAGCCUGUGCAACAGGAAGGUCACUCAGGAUGCAGCUGUGGCGCUGGGGACCCGCUGGACUCCACGGCUGCCGUGAGCCACGGCCCCAACAGCGAAAGCCCCCCCCCCCUCAUCUCGAAGACUCAGCAGCGUUCUGGUUCUGCCUCUACUUACCUUGUUGUUGUAACUUGCUAACAAACCCUCCCCAUGUGUGUGGAAUUCGUUCUCCUCCAAGAGUCAGGGUUGGAUUGGUCCGGCCAGCCAGCUGGCCCUGGGAUGGAGCAGCCUGGACAUACCUGGCCUGCUCCCAGGCCGUGGAGUUAGGAGCUGAUUCCUAGCCAGGACAGCAGGGCCCUGGGGCACCCUGUCUCGGUCCUGGAGGACCAGUGGUUCAAUCAGAAGGGAGCUCGGGGCAAGGCAGAUGUUAAGGGAGUCGUGCGCUUCUUGGUGGGAUCAAGUCUGUAAUGUACAGGAUGGUGUAGAAUUAGACUGAGCUUAGAUCCGUAGACUCUGCCCAGACACGGGAGGGGGAAAAGGUCUCAGCGGUAAAAAGAUAGAUAAAAUGGACACAGUUUUAUUACCUACAGGAUUCUGUCUUUAGUCACACGUCCCUCCCUAUCUCCACUUGUUCUUCGGUAUUCAAUGAAGAUCUAAAAAGUGGGCGUUUGAUUCUCAUUUCAUCCAUCCGCUAAGACACAUCAAUAAUUCAGAAGCCUGUAACUGGUUGUCAGGCAAACCAAGUGCAAGACUAUUUACACAACAUCCGGGGUAAAGCAAAAGACCUACGAGAGGACUGGAAGGAAAAAUGAACGCGAGGGAGCCCCGCUGAGGCUGGGAGAGACGCGUAUCGUGCAGCGAGUUUACGAGUCACGAACCUGCUCUGUCCCACGCGUCCGUGUUGGGUUGCAAAGACGAGAGGAUCUGGGUAAAUUCCCAAAGAGAAAGCCUUGGCACCUGUGGCCGGCUUUUUAAACGAGACAUUAAGGAAUCCCGACCAGGGCUGCCAUCAGUCCCCUUGACUGAAUAGAUAGGAAAUGAUGCAUUCUUAGAAGAUGCCUUUUUAUAGAUGCGGACUUGACAUGGCAGGAUUUGGAGCACAAUGGCACAUUGAGUAUUUGAGGACGGCUUCCUGCGGCCCUGCUAUUUUUAGAUGUUUGCUGCUUGCUGCUUCCUUAGGCCUGCCCAGCCGGCCCCUCAGCAUUCUCCAUGCCACUCCGUGCGCCCGCUCCCCCCCUCGCUCCUUCCCCUCUCGUGACCUUUGUGAUUUCCAGAUCCUGCUCCUCUGCCCAGUGUUCCCGUCCCAGAGACAAAGACCUAUUUGCAGCUGUCCGACGCUCACAGAGGGUCUGUAAACAGGGGAUGCAAGUUCACGGUGAUCCUCUGAUCCGGGCUUUCUUCGCCGAUCAAACAAAGUCCUUGGAAUCUGAUUCAGGAUGGGAUGGAAAUGUUUAGAGCUUCUAUUUCGGGGUUGCACGGAGAAAAGCGAAGUCUUCCUGCACAGGAGCCGAUGCUUGUUCCAAGCGCCUAACUCUGCAGCUCAUACCCCUGAGCCGUCUCCAGCAGUCACACAAGCGGGUCUUGAACCGGUGGAAAGCCAGGACGACCGCGCCCCGCUCCUGGUCCAGGGCCCGUGAUGGACCGUAACCCGGUUCCCUUUGCUCUCGUCUUUCUGCACUCGCUGUGACUUUGCACCUUCUGCACACACAGGUUGAGGUGUUGGUCAUCAGAGGCGAGCGGGCGCCUCCCACGAGCUCUAGUCUGGCCACUGGUAGAAAAAAAAUCACACAAACAAGACUUGAAGUACGGCAAAGACAGGACAUAGGGUUGAGCUGCUUUUUGCUGUCUCUGUGAGACACAUCUUGUUUGCAUCACGAGAGCGUGCAGGGGCUCCUUGUAGUAGGUUGCGAGCCUUAUAUGUUGGGUUUAUAGCCCUUGGUGAGUAAAGAUACAAAGGGUUGGACACAGCCCCGUGCCCACCCUGGUUUUCAUUUUUUACAUCCCUCGAGGUGUUUGGAAGUUGGAAGAAAAUUCAGAAGCUGCCCACCCUCCCUCCACAGAUGAAGUUUCUAAGGGGCAGGCAUUUGGUGCAGGGGUUACUGGGACGCCUGCAUCCCGUAUCACAGUGCGCGGGUUCAAGUCCCAGCUCCGCUCCCAAUUCCAGCUCCCUGCUAAUGCACACCCUGGGAGGCAGCACUGGCAGCUCCAGCGCUUGGGUCCCUUCCCCCCACCGGGGAGACCCAGAUGGAGCUCCGGGCUCCUGGCUUCAGCACAGCCCACCCCAGAUGUUGCAGACAUGCGGAGAAUGGACCCGUGGGUGGGAGACCCCUCAUUGUCUCUCUGCCUUUCAAGCAAGCAAAAAUGAUUUUUUAAGAUUCUUUUUAGAUUUUAUGAGGUAGAUGAAGGCAUUCUCUCUUUGGAGAAUUCUUUCCCAAAAGUGGAAGGGGCAAGAAGUUCCAAGACAGAAAAGCAUCCAACAGAGAGCUGCCGGGAAAAUCGUGGGUGUUUCUAGAAGGGGCCGAGGGCUGUCCCUACCUUCAGUGUUGUGUGCUGGUGCUUGCAACUCUGUGUACCUGGCCAUGACUCAGCAUGUACCUGACCAUGACUCAGGGAGCGUGGACGUGACCAUGACUCAGCAUGGACCUGACCAUGACUCAGCAUGUACCUGACCAUGACUCAGGGAGUGUGCACCUGACCAUGACUCAGCAUGUACCUGACCACGACUCAGGGUGUGUGAACCUGACCAUGACUCAGGGAUCGUGUCUGACAACAUCCCAGUGGGGCCAGUGCUGUGGCACAGCGGGUUAACACCCUGGCCUGAAGUGCUGGCAUCCCAUAUGGGUGCUGGUUCGAGUCCUGGCUGCUCCACUUCCCAUCUAGCUCUCUGCUGUGGCCUUGGAAAGCAAUAGAAGAUGCCCCAAGUGCUUGGGCCCCUGCACCUGCAUGGGAGACCUGGAAGAAGCACCUGGCUCCUGGCUUUGGAUCGAUGCAGCUUCGGCCGUUGCGGCCAUUUGGGGAGUGAACCAGCAGAUGGAAGACCUCUCUCUCUCUUUCUCUCUCUCUCUCUCUCUCUCUCUCUUCCUCUUCCCCUCUCUGUAACUCUGUCUUUCAAAUAAAUAAAAUAAAUCUUUAAAAAAGAAAAGAAAAGAACCCAGAGAUCCUGAUUCCAGUUCAAGAUGCGCGUGACCGGGCAAGGCUACAGGAUUUGUGGCUCUAACUACUGCUUCCCCAUCAUUCUGGCCUGUCCUGGACAGCACCCAGUCCCUUCUCUUUAUCCGCCAGGGUUUUCUGUCUUGGAUCAAACACACUCUCUUGUUUUCUUCUGACAGACUGAAAUCUGAUAUAUUUUAUGUUUUGAAUCCAGAGGAUAUGACCCUGAGUCAUGGUCAGGUACAUGCUGAGUUAUGGUCAGGGACAUGCUGAGUCAUGGUCAGGUGCACACUCCUUGAGUCGUGGUCAGGUACAUGCUGAGUCAUGGUCACGUCCACACUCCCUGAGUCAUGGUCAGGUACAUGCUGAGUCAUGGUCAGGGACAUGCGGAGUCAUGGUCACGUCCACACUCCCUGAGUGUACUUUUUCUUGUAGGAGAAGGGAAACUCAUUCUGUCUGUUCUCAGUAGCCCACAGGGACUUCCAGGAGAGGUUCAUUUAACGUCUGUGCUGGAGGGAGCAGGUUGUCCAACAGAUGUGCUAAACGGCCGUAAACUAGCCAUGAUGUCAGAGAUGUGUGUGGAGUAAAACCAUUUAGGUACUUAAAUUUAAAUUUUUUUUUUAUUUGAAAGGCAGAGGGACAAAGAGAAAGCUCUCUCCCGUCCCUGAAUCCCUCCCCAAAGGCCCACAGCAGGGCUGGGCCCUCCCUGUGGGGAGCAGGGACCCAGGCACUGGAGCCAUGCACGUUGGCUGGAGUCUGGAGUCAGAGCCAGGGCGGGGCUCGAACCAGGCACCCUGACCUGGGUUGUAGCCUCCCUCGCCGUGUCCAGCCACACAGCGAUCACCUGCCCCUGCCCGGUCGUCCACUCUGAACUCACAUGUUCCCUGAUGUCUUUUAGGAAAUACAAAACAAACCUGCUCAAAUGAAUACACACGUCACCAAAACAUUUUUAAAAUAUAGGGUUUCAUAUUGUUUUGAAUAAUCACUUUUGAAAGCCCAAAAGCACUCAAAGUUUUUUUUUUCUUCUGUUUGCUAAAAUUAUGCUGCUUUUGAAUAAAAACCAUAUAUGGAAUAUUUGCCCCUGGUGAAGACUUUUUUUCCCCUUCUUGGCUUUAAAUCACUAGAACUGUUUUGCAUUCUUAACGACGGCAUUCAUGACUAUGAAUAGAUUUCACAUUUUUCUCGCACAGAUUUGAGCUGUUUUAUAGAACAUUUAUGUAGUAUUACGUACAAUUGCUCCUUCUGAUGCUGAUUUCUUACCUGCAAAUAGACACAAUUUCUAAAGAAAAAAGACUAAAAUUAAACUUGGGUUUUUUCCCCAUUUACUUUUAUUGCAUCGUUUUGGGAAGAGAUAUAUACUUUUUUUUUUAUCUGAAAUGCAUUUUUGUUUCUAUAAAAAUGUUGUCUCCUGACCCUCCGACUUCAUCCAUUUUGUGUCUCUUAAAAGAAUCUGAGCCAGCGCCAUGGCUCACUAGGCUAAUCCUCCACCUUGCGGCGCCAGCACACCGGGUUCUAGUCCCGGUCGGGGCGCCGGAUUCUGUCCCGGUUGCCCCUCUUCCAGGCCAGCUCUCUGCUGUGGCCCAGGAGUGCAGUGGAGGAUGGCCCAAGUGCUUGGGCCCUGCACCCCAUGGGAGACCAGGAGAAGCACCUGGCUCCUGCCAUCGGAUCAGCGCGGUACGCCGGCCACAGUGGCCAUUGGAGGGUGAACCAACGGCAAAGGAAGACCUUUCUCUCUGUCUCUCUCUCACUGUCCACCCUGCCUGUCAAAAAAAAAAAAAAAAAAAGAAAAAGAAAAAACAUAGAAUCUGGAGUUUUUUGAGUGUGCUACUUCUGUUGAUAACAGAGAACCUCGCUCGGAGCUGAAGUGAGCGUCCCGGGGCUCUGCUGGCUGCCUGCUCACAGCCUGGCAUCGCGCUCCCUCCGGGAAUCGUCCUUCGUUUCCCGGAUUUUGCAGAAAUCCAGUCUGAACGGUUUGGGAUCAUCGACAGUUCACAAAGGGAUAUGGUUUCCAUCCUUCCUUCCUCCGGUUGUCUUUUUCCUGGGAGAAGAUAGAGGCUCUUGUUUGUAAACAGAUCUUGGGUUUGUGUGCGUGCACCUGGGGUGUGUGCAGAUAAGAAGAGAACGCAGGGCGAGUUCCCGUCUGAAGCCACAGCGGGGGACUCUUCAGUCCAUGCUCACGAGCGUUUUCAGAAGGUCUGUAGGGUCUCGUGAAUCCACGUCUCUGUGUAAGAGCGUCAGCCUGGAGAGUUUGCUCAAAGGAAUGGUCGGGCCCUGUCUUCGUGUCUCUGAUUCGUGUGGGGACAAGGGCUUGGGGACCGUCACAGAGCUUCUGCUGGCUCCCAGCCUGUCACUGCCUCCAGCCCUCCUUCGACCCUUCCACUUCUUGUCCACUUGGAGGUCAGCUGCAGGGGCUCGCUCUGGCCAGGCCAGAAAUCCAAACAAGUCCAUUUGGGGGAGAGGUUAAAGAUCAGCAGUUAGGUAAGCCAUAAAACAGCCCUGGAGACAUCGGCAUCAGGCAUGGCUGCAUCUAGGGUCCCCGGAGCCCUCGCCGGGAGUCUCCCCGCCAGGCUCCGCCCCUCGACCCUGCAAUCUGGCAGAGCCGGCGCCCAUCAGAGGGCAUGCCUUCCCCACAGGGUCUCAGGACGAGAAGAGGGAGAGGGGCCUCCCUUCUCCUGGGGGUACACGGGGGCGGCGGUGCUCUGAAGUGGCCGGGAGUGAGGGGAGCCUGGGCGCGACCCAUGGGCAGGUUAUGGAAGCCGAGAGCAGGUUCCAGUUCUCCGAGGCCUGGCCAAGGUGUGCCGGGGCCCAGCAGGGGUGGAUCAGAAGGUCAGAACCUCUCUGUCUGUCUCUCUCUCUCUCUCACUCACUCUCUCUCUCUGUCUCUUUCUCUCAUUCUCUCACUCUCUCCUCUCUCUCUCUGUCUCUCUUUCUCUCUCUCUUGCUCUCCUCUCUCUCUGUCUCUCUAGCUCUCACUCCUCUCUCUCUCUCUCUCUCUCGCUCUCCUGUCUCUGGCUCUCUCUCACUCUCUGUCUCUCUCUCUCUCUCCCUCUCUCUCGCUGUCUCUUUCUCUCAUUCUCUCACUCUCUCUCUCUGUCUCUCUCCUCUCUCUCUAGCUCUCUCUCUGUCUCUGUCUCUCUGUAUCUCUGUCUCUCUGUCUCUCUCUCUCUCUCCCCCUCUCUCCCUCUCCCUCUCUCUCUCCUCUCUCUCUCUCUGACUUUCAGGUCAGAAGGAGGGAGCCACAGCUGGGGAGACCUACAGGCGUGGCCUGUGUCUCGUAGCUGUCAUCCGUUUCCUUUCUGGUUGUAGAGAGAACUGACCAGAGGCAGCCGUCACAUCCUGUCCUUGACCGCGUGGUAGCCUGGGCUGCUCCGGCUGAGCGCUGCACAUGUCAGUGUCGUCGGGUAAAGUCUGGAGUUGGCAGCCGUCAGCACCAUGUGCAGGAUACAGAGACUUGAGUUUCUAAGAGAAGCUGGCAUCAGGUGGCUCAGAUCUGGCCAGAGGAGAGGUUUUCCCAGAGUUCCUUCACGGGGCCCCCAGCAUGCACCAGGCGUGGGUCAAGGACCUCGCACAGAUGCAGGAGGGAGGCAGGGAGAGAGGGAGCCGCAUGGAGCUGGAGGGAGCCGUGGGCUUCAGGGGCCGUUCUGUGCACCCUGCGAGGGCCGAGGCCCGGUCGCGAGAGAGCGCUCGUGGCAGCCUUCCGCCCGCGUGGGGUCCUCCCUGAGCUUUGCCAGUGUGGUGUUGAGACCCCUGACCAGACACAGGACAGGGGCUCUGCGCAGCCUGAGCAGAGUGAGGGCCUGGCAGGUGCGCACAGACACACAGGCAGGACUGCACAUCUGAGCCCAUGCGGGGUUCCAGCGCACCUCACUCGGGGUCACACCCCUGCUCCGUGGCAGCCCUGGCCCUCGGAGCCCCUCCAGCUCCAGCUCCCCUGCCCUGACCCUCACAUAGAAGUUUCAUCCUCAAAUACCCACAAAGAAGUUCCUUGCCGCCAACCACACGUGGCUGAGUUUGGUGGCCCCGAGGCUGGAGCCGUCUCAACAGUGCUGGGCUUCCCCACCCCGUGUCCCUCUCUGUGUUCCGUGUAUCAUGCGAGGCGCGAGCGAUUCCUUGCUGAGGUGGGGCGAUGUGUUUACACCCGGUCCAGCUGCCGUCCGGGCUGUCACGGGGGUCCCAGAUGGGAACCCAGCGCCCCUCCCCACCACUGCGCCCACCCCUUCCCAGUCACUGCAGGUGCCUUUUCAAAACCUCUCCCUGCCUGACCAAUGUCAAGUGCCCUGAGGGUUAAUGCAUUACAAAAUGUUAGGAAACUCUUCUUCGGCGAAACAGCAUUUUCUGUCUGUUUAUGCAUGAAGCGCGCCUAAGGGGCUGUGGCUUCCGCGCGAUGCCCGUCUUUGCAAAGCAGGAUUUUGCGACUUCCAUGAGAUUCCUAAAGCUCUGUCUCCAUCCAGUACGUGGUCUCUCUGGACAAAGUGAGGCAGAACACUCCGUGCCCUUUUCCACCUAGUGUCCAGAGCUCAGAUACAUUCCACUAUCUGGAACGUUGUGUGCUCUCUUUUGAAAACGGUUCUCUUUGAGACGUUGGAGGGAUUGGUUUUUGUGGGGAGCAAUCCGGACUAGACUGUUACUCGAAUUAAGACUUAUUCUAUGCAUCUGCUCUCCCACAAUAUGGCGCUGGGAGAGAAGUAAACAGCUUCCGCACAGCUGCCUCCAGUUCAACUAAUAAACUGUAGGACUUGCUCCUGAUUGGAGGAGAGCAGCGUACUCGGCGUGUGGGCAGCCGAGUUGGGAUUGGCGGAGGAGGACUAUAAAGGAGGAGAGAGACGGCAUGCACGAGGAACAUCUAUGGGGAACAUCUAGCUGAAGGAACACCUGUGCAGCCCCCCAGAAAGCCGGCCGGCGGUGUGCCGCUCCCCUGCGGAAGUGGGGAAUGUGGCCAGGGGGAACUGCCCUUCCACGGAGGUGGAAGGGAUAGUAGCCAACCCGGGAAGAACCAGCAGCAAACCCGGGGAGGGCCGAGCAGACGAAAGAACAGCGCAGGGUCCUGUGUUGCUCCUCCACGAAGAGGGGGAGCGACAGUUUUCAAAGCAGUGCUCAAUCUUUCAACAAGAAGUUUGGAUUUUUUUUUUCACUAAAAACAACCUGUUUUUAGAAACUGUGCAUGCUCGCAAAACUCUUCAGUGAUGAGCGAAUAAGUCUCCAAUGGCUGCUAGAGAAAGGUACCAGAGUCCCUCAUUCUGGUCUUAGGAACAAACCUAAGUCCAGUUUUGUGUUAAAAAAAAAAAAAAAACAAA